UAUGAGAAAUCAAAUAAUGUAGCUGGCUAGU
rnacentral:piRNA from 1 species